rnacentral:rRNA from 1 species
AGUGAACGCUGGCGGUAGGCCUAACACAUGCAAGUCGAACGGCAGCACAGUAAGAGCUUGCUCUUACGGGUGGCGAGUGGCGGACGGGUGAGGAAUACAUCGGAAUCUACUAUUUCGUGGGGGAUAACGUAGGGAAACUUACGCUAAUACCGCAUACGACCUACGGGUGAAAGCAGGGGAUCUUCGGACCUUGCGCGAUUGAAUGAGCCGAUGUCGGAUUAGCUAGUUGGCGGGGUAAAGGCCCACCAAGGCGACGAUCCGUAGCUGGUCUGAGAGGAUGAUCAGCCACACUGGAACUGAGACACGGUCCAGACUCCUACGGGAGGCAGCAGUGGGGAAUAUUGGACAAUGGGCGCAAGCCUGAUCCGGCCAUACCGCGUGGGUGAAGAAGGCCUUCGGGUUGUAAAGCCCUUUUGUUGGGAAAGAAAAGCAGCAGGUUAAUACCCCGCUGUUCUGACGGUACCCAAAGAAUAAGCACCGGCUAACCUCGUG